ensembl:lncRNA
CAGGGGCUCAGAAGUAAUUGCACAAAUUAAAUAACUGAAAAUAAAAUGUUCAUUUUUAAUACUUGGUUUCGUGGGAAUGACAGCCUGAAGUCUCGAACUCAUGGACAUCACCAGAUGCUGGGUUUCAUCCUUUUUAAUGCUCUGCCAGACCUUUACUGCAGCGACUUUCAGUUGCUGUUUGUUUGUGUUUCUGUCCGAAGUUUAGUCUUCAGUGAGUGAAAUGCAAACUCAGCUGGGCUAAGACCAGGUGGCCAGUUAAGAAUAUUCCACUUCUUUGCUUUAAUAAACUCUUGUUGCUUUGCUUUGGCUGCAUGUUUUGGGCCAUUGUCCAUCUGUAUUAUGAAACACCACCCAAUCAGUUUGACUACAUUUAGCUGGAUUUGAGCAGUAUGUCUCUAAACACCUCAGAAUUCAUUAGGCUGCUUCUGUCCUGUGUCACAUCAUCAAUAAAGUGUCUCAGUGCCACAGGCAGCCAUGCAUGCCCAAGCUAUCACACUGCCGCCGUCGUGCCUUACAGAUUAUGUGGUAUGCUUUGGCUCAUGCUGUCUCCAUGCUUUUUUCUUACCAUCAUGAAAAAAGGUUGAUUGUGGUUGAUCUGUCCAAAGAAUAUUGUUGCAGAACUGUGCCGGCUAUUUUAGAUGUUUUUUGGUUGUUUUUUUUUUUUUUUGAGCAAAGUCUGGUCUAGCCUUUCUAUUCUUGAGGCUUAUGAGUUGUUUCUUGCAGUGAACUUUCAUGCAGUCUUCUCUUUAUGGUAGACUUGAAUAUCGAUACGCCUACCUCCUGCAGACUGUUAUUUACUCGGUUGGCUGUUGUGAAGGGGGUUCUCAUCACCAUGGAAAUGAUUCUGCGAUCCUCCACCAUUGUUGUCUUCCGUGGACAUCCAGGUCUUUUUACGUUGAUGAGUUCACCAGUGCAUUCUUUCUUUCUCAGGAUGUGCCAAACUGUAGAUUUUGUCACUCCUAAUAUUGUAGCAAUUUCUCUGAUGGUUUUUUUUUCUAUUUUUGCAGCUUAAGGAUGGCUUAUUUCACCUGCAUGGAGAGCUCCUGGAGAGUGUUGUCUGUUCACAGCAAAAUCCUCCAAAUGCAAGAUUACAAAAUGCCAGACCUUUUAUCUGCUUAACUGACAAAGACAUAAUGAAAGAAUUGUCCACACCUGCCCAUGAAAUAGCCUUUGAACCAAUUGUCCAAUUACUUUUGGUCCCUUUAAAAAGACGGUGGCACAUGUUAAGGAGCUGAACUCUUCAUCCAAUUUGAAUGUGGAUACUCUCAAAUGAAGGCUGAGAGUCAGCACAUUUUGGGUCAUUGUCCAUUAUAUAAGUAGAAUGG